GCCAGUGUGGCAUAGUGGUUUGAGUGCUGGACUACAACUCCGGAGACCAGGGUUCGAUUCCCAUCUUGGCCA
rnacentral:tRNA from 1 species